rnacentral:misc_RNA from 1 species
GAAAUGCGAUAAGUAAUGUGAAUUGCAGAAUUUAGUGAAUCAUCGAAUCUUUGAACGCACAUUGCGCCCCUGGGAAUUCCCAGGGGCAUGCCUGUUCGAGCGUCCGUAACAACCUCUCAAGCCUGGCUUGGUAUUGGGACUCGCUGCCUCGGUGGUGGUCCUCAAAAGCAGUGGCGGGCCCAUGUAACUCUCCGCGUAGUAAUACAUCUCGCGACAGAGAAGCAGCGGGACUUGCCAAAACUCCUUAAUUGCUCAGGUUGACCUCGAAUCAGGUAGGGAUACCCGCUGAACUUAA